rnacentral:rRNA from 1 species
ACCCGCUGAACUUAAGCAUAUCAAUAAGCGGAGGAAAAGAAACUAACAAGGAUUCCCCUAGUAACGGCGAGUGAAGCGGGAAGAGCUCAAAUUUAAAAUCUGGCAGUGUAUUCUGUCCGAGUUGUAGUCUAGAGAAGCAUCAUCCGUGCUGGACCAUGUACAAGUCUCUUGGAACAGAGCGUCAUAGAGGGUGAGAAUCCCGUCCUUGACAUGGACUCCCAGUACUUUGUGUUGUGCUCUCAACGAGUCGAGUUGUUUGGGAAUGCAGCUCAAAAUGGGUGGUAAAUUCCAUCUAAAGCUAAAUAUUGGCGAGAGACCGAUAGCGAACAAGUACCGUGAGGGAAAGAUGAAAAGCACUUUGGAGAGAGAGUUAAACAGUACGUGAAAUUGUUGAAAUGGAAACGCUUGAAGUCAGUCGCGUUCUCUGGGACUCAGCCUUGCUUUUGCUUGGUGUAUUUCCUAGUCUACGGGCCAGCAUGAAUUUUGACCAAUGGAAAAAGGCUUGGGGAAUGUGGCACCCUCGGGUGUGUUAUAGCCCCUUGUCACAUACGUUGGUUGGGAUUGAGGUCUUAGUGCACGCUUCGGUUGUGCUUUGAUGCUGGCGUAAUGGCUUU